UAUAAAUGGUAUACAAUGAAACUGCGAAUGGCUCAUUAAAACAGUUAUAGUUUAUUUGGUAAUCAAACUUACAUGGAUAACCGUGGUAAUUCUAGAGCUAAUACAUGCUGUUCUGCCCGACUCACGAAGGGCCGUAUUUAUUAGAUAUCAGCCAAUAAGCAUCUGCUAUUGUGGUGACUCAUAGUAACUUAAUCGGAUCGCAUGGGCUCGUCCCGCGACAAACCAUUCAAGUUUCUGCCCCAUCAUGCUUUCGAUGGUAGUGUAUUGGACUACCAUGGCUUUCACGGGUAACGGAGGAUUAGGGUUCGAUUCCGGAGAGGGAGCCUGAGAAACGGCUACCACUUCCACGGAAGGCAGCAGGCGCGUAAAUUACCCAAUCCUGAUUCAGGGAGGUAGUGACAAGAAAUAAUGGGUCGGGGUUUUUCCCCGGGACUGCAAUGAGACGAAUUUAGACCCCUUAUCGAGGGCCAAUUGGAGGGCAAGUCUGGUGCCAGCAGCCGCGGUAAUUCCAGCUCCAAUAGCGUAUAUUAAAGUUGUUGCAGUUAAAAAGCUCGUAGUUGGAUUUCUGGUAGAAGGUUAGAGCGCACCUGCGUGAUGCUCGCGUCUUCUGCCAUCCUUCUGUUAACCUUUCUUGACAUUGACUUGUCGGUUUGGGGCUCAGAUAUUUUACCUUGAGAAAAUUAGAGUGUUUCAGGCAGGCUUGUGCCCGGAUACAUUAGCAUGGAAUAAUAGAACAGGACUUUAGCCUCUUCUGUUGGUCUGAGGGGUUGAAGUAAUGAUU
rnacentral:rRNA from 1 species